rnacentral:rRNA from 1 species
GUGGGGAAUAUUGGACAAUGGGGGAAACCCUGAUCCAGCGACGCCGCGUGAGUGAAGAAGUAUUUCGGUAUGUAAAGCUCUAUCAGCAGGGAAGAAAGAAGACGGUACCUGACUAAGAAGCCCCGGCUAACUACGUGCCAGCAGCCGCGGUAAUACGUAGGGGGCAAGCGUUAUCCGGAUUUACUGGGUGUAAAGGGAGCGUAGACGGUGUAGCAAGUCUGAUGUGAAAACCCGGGGCUCAACUCCGGGAUUGCAUUGGAAACUGUUGUACUUGAGUGCAGGAGAGGUAAGUGGAAUUCCUAGUGUAGCGGUGAAAUGCGUAGAUAUUAGGAGGAACACCGGCGGCGAAGGCGGCUUACUGGACUGUAACUGACGUUGAGGCUCGAAAGCGUGGGGAGCAAACAGG